UACGGAGGGGACUAGCGUUGUUCGGAAUUACUGGGCGUAAAGCGCACGUAGGCGGAUUUGUAAGUCAGGGGUGAAAUCCCGGGGCUCAACCUCGGAACUGCCUUUGAUACUGCAAAUCUCGAGUCCGGAAGAGGUGAGUGGAAUUCCUAGUGUAGAGGUGAAAUUCGUAGAUAUUAGGAAGAACACCAGUGGCGAAGGCGGCAUCCUGGACCGACACUGACGCUGAGGAGCGAAAGCCAGGGGAGCAAACGGG
rnacentral:rRNA from 1 species